AUUUCCCUCUUACCCAAGAAGGAAUCACCUUUGGAGCUGCGCGACUUCAGGCCAAUUUCUAUUGUUCAUAGUGUCCCCAAGUUGGCUAGCAAGGUCCUUGCCCACAGAUUGCAAAUGCAUAUCCCUUCCCUGGUUCACCCUCUACAAUCUGGUUUCAUCAAGGGCCGCUCCAUAGUUGAGAACUUUGCUAUGGCCGCUGACAUGGUUCAAACUGCCCACAAAAGGAAACUACCAAUGGUGGUUCUCAAGCUG
rnacentral:rRNA from 1 species